rnacentral:rRNA from 1 species
GAUGAACGCUGGCGGCGUGCCUAAUACAUGCAAGUCGAGCGAACGGACGAGAAUCUUGCUUCUCUGAUGUUAGCGGCGGACGGGUGAGUAACACGUGGAUAACCUACCUAUAAGACUGGGAUAACUUCGGGAAACCGGAGCUAAUACCGGAUAAUAUUUUGAACCGCAUGGUUCAAAAGUAAAAGACGGUCUUGCUGUCACUUAUAGAUGGAUCCGCGCUGCAUUAGCUAGUUGGUAAGGUAACGGCUUACCAAGGCAACGAUGCAUAGCCGACCUGAGAGGGGGAUCGGCCACACUGGAAGUGAGACACGGACCAGACUCCUACGGGAGGCAGCAGUAGGGAAUCUUACGCAAUGGGCGAAAGCCUGACGGAGCAACGCCGCGUGAGUGAUGAAGGUCUUCGGAUCGUAAAACUCUGUUAUUAGGGAAGAACAUAUGUGUAAGUAACUGUGCACAUCUUGACGGUACCUAAUCAGAAAGCCACGGCUAACUACGUG